AAUAAUGAUGAAUAACUUAUAAGAAGUGAGAAUUAAAAAACUUACAUGUUGAAAAAAGUACAAGACCCAUGAAUAUCAAAGCUGCUUU
rfam:Eutrema salsugineum unplaced genomic scaffold scaffold_1, whole genome shotgun sequence.